rnacentral:rRNA from 1 species
UACGUAGGGUGCGAGCGUUGUCCGGAAUUAUUGGGCGUAAAGAGCUCGGUAGGCGGUCUGUCGCGUCGAUCGUGAAAACUUGGGGCUUAACCCUGAGCUUGCGGUCGAUACGGGCAUGGACUGGAGUUCGGCAGGGGAGACUGGAAUUCCUGGUGUAGCGGUGAAAUGCGCAGAUAUCAGGAGGAACACCGAUGGCGAAGGCAGGUCUGCUGGGCCGAAUGACUGACGCUGAGGAGCGAAAGCGUGGGGAGCGAACAGG